rnacentral:rRNA from 1 species
GAUGAACGCUGGCGGCGUGCCUAAUACAUGCAAGUCGAGCGAACAGAUACGGAGCUUGCUCCUUUGACGUUAGCGGCGGACGGGUGAGUAACACGUGGGGAACCUACCUAUAAGACUGGGAUAACUUCGGGAAACCGGAGCUAAUACCGGAUAACAUUUGGAACCGCAGGGUUCUAAAGUGAAAGAUGGUUUUGCUAUCACUUAUAGAUGGACCCGCGCCGUAUUAGCUAGUUGGUAAGGUAACGGCUUACCAAGGCGACGAUACGUAGCCGACCUGAGAGCGUGAUCGGCCACACUGGAACUGAGCCACGGUCCAGGCGCCUACGGGAGGCAGCAGUAGGGAAUCGUCCGCAAUGGGCGAAAGCCUGACGGAGCAGCGCCGCGUGAGUGAUGAAGGGUUUCGGCUCGUAAAACUCUGUUAUUGGUGAAGAACAAACGUGUAAGUAACUGUGCACGUCUUGACGGUACCUAAUCAGAAAGCCACGGCUAACUACGUG